CCACCCAGGCCUGAGGAGAACUAUGUUGUUGUUGUGUGCCAUCAAGUCAAUUCCAACUCUUAGCGAUUCCAUAUGACAGAGCAGAACUGCCCCAUAAGGUUUCCUAGGUUGUAAUCUUUACUGGAGCAGAUCGCCAGGUCUUUUCUUCCUCGGAGUGGCCUUUCAGCUAGCAGCAAAAUGCUUAACCAUUGCGCCACCAGGGCUCCUUGGGGACAACUAUGCUUUGGCACAUCUGACGUUUGAGUCAAUAUUUCCCUCCUCUGGAAGUUAAUAUUAGUGGAGCUCUGAGAUUUCCAAACAGGUAUCGCUGCUUGUCCCUGGGUGAUGCACAUGCUUAAUGCCUUUGCUGCUAAGUAAAAGGUUGGAGGUUUGAGUCCACCAGAGGUGCUUCAGAAGAGAGGCCUGGUGACCUACUUCCAAAAAAUUAGCCAUCGAAAACCCUGUGGAGCACAGUUCUACUCUGACACACAUGGGAUGGCUAUGAGGCAGCGUUGAGCAACGGCAGCGGGUCAUCUCUGCCUCAGGCAUGAGGCAACCGCUUCCUGGGUGAGAUCACAGGCUUCCCUGCUAACUCCACGAGCACUCUUCUGGCAGGGAAAAAGAGGUAGAUUAGGUUCCAGCCUAAUCUUAUUGUCCAGUGACCUUAUUGUCUGGAGGGGGUGCACAGGGGUGGUGGUGCCUGGACCCUCGGGGCUGCAGAUCCACAGACCUGGGGCCAAGGGCUUUCCUCCAGGACGGGAGACGGGAGAAGGGGGUAGAACCAGCAAGAGGGUUGCUUGGCCGGGAAUGGAGUGAAAGUUCUGGCCACCAGGUGGCACUGGUGGGCAUGCGACCAGGGACCCCUCCCAGCUAGCGAAACACCAGGGAGACUGUGAGGAGGAGAGGGCGGGCCCAGGGGGCGGGUUUGCAGAGGCUCUGCCCUCCUGGGCUUUGGUACAAGGCUUUCAGCUUACCUCAGAGAGAGGGCCGCUGGAGGAAGGGGGCAGGAGUCUUCAUGCUCACUCCUGACAACUGGGGUGACAGCAUGCCGAGGUUAGGGAGACCCUGGCUGUCAGGGGAUAUGGAGGUAGCAGGGGUAGGCACACCUCUUGUGACUGAAGGAAUAACGAGGCUACAAGUGUGGAGAGAUGGCGCUUGCUCACUUCUGGGACCAGCUCCCCUACCGCUCGGGCAACAGGCUUUGUCCAUCACUUUGGGGUCCUGGGAUGAGGUGAUGGUUCGGCUAUUAGCGUUCUGUGUGCUUUGUGCCCUGAGGGCCUCUGGGCUGGUCCCUUUACUAGGCUGACUCUGGUGGGGUGUAGCGGGAGGUGUCAUACAACUCCUACUUCUGCCGCCACUUAUGUGUUCAUCUUUCAACCUGUACGGAGCCAGGUCUAGGGACACAGAGAUCAGAAACACAUGGUCCCUGCAUCCAAGGAGCUGAAAGUGUAACGGAGGAGACACAAAUCUCAACACCAACCAAUGGAGAGGACAAGGAGACUGUUGACUUCAUCUUGUCUACAGAAGGGCCCAGAUCUCCAGAAGUUGAACUCUGCAGGGGAGAGAGAAAAUCAGCCACUUGCCACCUGGAAAUGCCAUUCAGUAUUUGCAUAUUAAAAGAAGAACUUGGAGAAAGUCAAGACAACUAAAAAGAAAUCUGUAGAAUUUCAUGUCUGGGUGUAGGUGAAGGUCCCUGUGAUGCACAGUUUGGGGAUUCUUCAAUCUUGUGUUCCUCCAAGUAUCUGUAUGUGUGCCUAUGAUCGUGUCCCAUUGAGAUCAUCCAGGCUUUCUGGAAACGUCUUUCUGGGGGACAGCUGCCUGGCUGAGGUUGCUACAACCCCUGAAUCUCGGACAGCAUCAGUAAAGCUAGCCCCAUCUCACUGAGUCUGGCUCUGGUACCUGUCUAAGCGGUGCUGUCUUCCCCACUGGAAGGGGAGGGAGGUCUCUGGGUGUCUCUCUCCUCCGAAUGCCCCUGACUCUGCCUCCCCUCCCUAUGCCUGGUUGCAUUCUGCUAUUCUUUCUCAGCCAUUUUCUCUCAUUCACACCAGGUGUCUCCAGCUACCUGAAGUCCUAGCUUUACCAGCAGUAGCCGAGGGAUGCUGUGACUGACUUGACUGGGAGCUAGCAGUACAGGAACAAAAUUAACCUUCUUUCUAAUGACUGCAGAGAGAGAGAUAGAAAGAGAAAGGGGAAGAGAGAGAGAGAAAGAAAUGAAGAGAGAAAGAGAGAGACACCUUCAGAAAUGCUGGAACCAAGCCCCAGCAGAAGACCGUUCUUUUCCUUCCUGAGUAAAUGCUACACCUGCUAAUUUCACAUGGCUUACAUUUUUUCUGAUACUAUCCAGGACCUUGGCCUGUAACCCCAAGAACAUCAGCCCAGCCCUGUUUUGCGUUCCUCUUAUCCGCUGCCACCUGAGGUGGAUUACCCAAUAAGGGAGGUAAGCACAGGCUUACUUGUGCUUACUUCCUAAUCUGUAGUAAACGAUUCCACGUGAGUUUCAUGUGAACCUGCUUACCUUCCUCACUGGGUAACCCGUCCCUGUCAGGGACUGUAACUUUGAAAAGAGGCUUUGAUUCUGUAGGAAGGUGCUGUGGGGUUGGGAGAGAGACAGAGGCCAGCCAUACCUAGAAGCAGAAUCUCUGAUGUGGUAAAAAAAAAUGUGAAAUUGUUCACUACACAUGAUCUGGUAAUGCAAGGUAAGCACCGUGCUUACCUUGCCUAUUAGAUAAUCUGCCCCUGCUGCCACCAACAAAAAUGUAAGCCUAUAGUCAGUUAUUGGUCUUCUAACCUACUCAUUCUACACAUCUACGGAAUAAUCCCUUGGAUUCUACUCCUUAACCUCCUCCAACCAUUCCCAUUAGGCUGCAGCGCAUAAUGGAGCUAGCCAGCCGUCUCUUACUAGCCUUUAUCUCCUUCUUCU